rnacentral:rRNA from 1 species
GACGAACGCUGGCGGCGUGCCUAAUACAUGCAAGUAGAACGCUGAAGGCGGAGCUUGCUUCUCUGGAUGAGUUGCGAACGGGUGAGUAACGCGUAGGUAACCUGCCUGGUAGCGGGGGAUAACUAUUGGAAACGAUAGCUAAUACCGCAUAAUAGUAGAUGUCGCAUGACAUUUGCUUAAAAGGUGCAAUUGCAUCACUACCAGAUGGACCUGCGUUGUAUUAGCUAGUUGGUGAGGUAACGGCUCACCAAGGCAACGAUACAGAGCCGACCGGAGAGGGUGAGCGGCCGCACUGGGACGGAGACACGGCCCAGACUCCUACGGGAGGCAGCAGUAGGGAAUCGUCGGCAAGGGACGGAAGUCUGACCGAGCAACGCCGAGUGAGGGAAGAGGGUUUUCGGAUCGGAAAGCUCGGUUGUAAGAGAAGAACGAGUGUGAGAGUGGAAAGUUCACACUGUGACGGUAUCUUACCAGAAAGGGACGGCUAACUACGUG